CAGGUUUUUGUGCCGGCAUCCCAAACAACCAUUGAGACAGAUUUUGAACCAACCCCUAUGCUACAGAUUGAAAGGACUACAGAAACCACUCCUGAAACCCCCAAAUAACUUCAAGAAACCACACCCACGCUUCCCCCAGCUCCAACUAAAAUUCAUCCAGCCGCAGAAGACGCUGCUGCCCUGUUGAUGAUGGCACGGACAGCAUCCUAUGUUCCUAAAACAGAUCCAGGGGUGCCAUCAUUCAGCCUUGGAUUGACUGAUUCAAGCCAGGAGGGAGCGUCAACG